rnacentral:misc_RNA from 1 species
UAUCUGGAGCUCCAUGAACCUAACUAUAAUUUAUGUAAAAAGAAAAUCAAUGCCAAGCUAAUAUCAUAUGAGAAUUCCAAAUAUACAGGAGAGAAGCACUUGGAAAGUUGAAGAUGGCCAUAAUUCUGGUAUUUGCAACACAAAAUUCAUAGGCUUUGCAAAAAUCCAAGCAAAUUUAACAAAUAAUAAAGCUAAUUAGAAGCUAAACGUCAAAAUCAAAAGAAGAAGGACAGUAAGGAGAGAUGAAGUCACCGGCAAGUGGGUUUUAGAAUCAAG